rnacentral:sRNA from 1 species
UUAAACAAUUUAUUUUUUGGGGUUUUAUCUUCGCUUUUUAUAUUGAUUAUGUUGUUGCAUGUGUCAACGCCCAUGUCCAACGUCUGGGGGAACCUUUUGGCGGCACUGGCAUUAACGACUCUAGAGUGCAUAUACACAUGCGGCUGCCUGCCAGCCGGAGUCCAGUCUGGGGUCCAGAAGCCAUUUCUCGUAUCCCCGAACUCGGCAUCCAGACACCGUGUAUCCCGAUAUCCUCUCGAUGUGAGAUAUCGGAUGGCUCCCGAUGCAAGCGUGCUUGUGGCUCCUCCAACGUUUGGCCCCACAUAUGAAAGCCUGUUAAAUAUUUAUGAGUAUUGAAAUGUUGCCUCGAUGCAUAUUAUAACAAAUGAAACGUCAAUUUCAUGCAAAAAAUGCAAACAGAAGCGACAUCCCAAGGAUGGCUGAUGUAGAUCUGCCCCACCAGACAGAAAAGGACAUGGAGCUGGACAUGGGCUGCCAGGAACUCUCCAACUCCAGUACCUAGGCGAAAUAAGGUGCAGUUGCCUCUGCCGGCACGUGACAGGCCUAUGACCGAAGGACAAGUGGGUGUCCAUCUCGUUCGGAUCCGGCGGCUCCUCAUUGCGGCGUCCUUUGGUUUUUGCACAAUUUUAUUUUGGAAUUGCAUGCAUGGCCCUGAGGACUGCAGCACAUUCAAUUUGGAAGCUCAAGUGGUGUUCGACCACAUAAGACAUACAUUUCAUGGGCCUUUGGAAUAGACAAUGGGAUAGGACGGACAUUGGCCCACAAUGAGAAAAAAAACCCAAGAAGCGCUAAGAACUUAAAGAGCAAACAGAUGCAAUGGCAACCCGAAAAGCAGCAGGCUAAUUUGUGAGGGAGCAAUAAAAAUUGUUUAUUGAAACGAAAAAAGUGUGCGCCAGAGAAACUUGAAAUAUACUCCCCGCGUCUCUCUACACACCCAUA